GUCGUCUCAGCUGUGGUCGUGGUCUCCUUUACUGUCGUAUCAUCUAGUCAUGAUCUCCUUUACUGUCGUAUCAGCUGUGGUCGUGGUCUCCUUUAC